UACGGAGGAUCCGAGCGUUAUCCGGAUUUAUUGGGGUUAAAGGGUGCGUAGGCGGCCUGUUAAGUCAGGGGUGAAAGACGGUAGCUCAACUAUCGCAGUGCCCUUGAUACUGAUGGGCUUGAAUGUACUAGAGGUAGGCGGAAUGUGACAAGUAGCGGUGAAAUGCAUAGAUAUGUCACAGAACACCAACUGCGAAGGCAGCUUACUAAAGUAUGAUUGACGCUGAGGCACGAAAGCGUGGGGAUCAAACAGG
rnacentral:rRNA from 1 species